UACGGAGGGUGCAAGCGUUAUCCGGAUUCACUGGGUUUAAAGGGUGCGUAGGCGGACAUGUAAGUCCGUGGUGAAAUCUCUAAGCUUAACUUGGAAACUGCCAUGGAUACUAUAUGUCUUGAAUGUUGUGGAGGUUAGCGGAAUAUGUCAUGUAGCGGUGAAAUGCAUAGAUAUGACAUAGAGCACCAAUUGCGAAGGCAGCUGGCUACACAAAUAUUGACGCUGAGGCACGAAAGCGUGGGGAUCAAACAGG
rnacentral:rRNA from 1 species